AGCGACCACAACGCUUUUCUACUUGUUGCUGCCCGUUCGAUCGGCGCGUUGAUAUUCUUCUAGUCAGUAAGUGACAGGUGGUCGGUGUCGUACAGCUAGCAAUGUCACAGAAGAGACUGAGGUACAGUACUGUCUCCCGCGGAGCAGUAUAAAUAUCUCAGGGUCUUGUUCACAAGUGAGGGGAGAAGGGGUGGACUGACAGAUCGGAGCAGACUGUGGACGUUUUACCACUCAGUCGUGGUGAGGAUGGCGCUGAGCCGACAGGCAAAGUUCCUACCGUCACCUAUGGCCAUGAACUAUGCGUAUUGACCGAAGCACUAGAUCGCAGAUAUGAGCGGCGGAAAUGAGUUUCGGGGUGUCUAGGCUCGGCCUUCGUGAAGGGGUGAGGAGCGAAGUCGAGGUGGUUCAGACAUUUGAUAGGAUGCCUUCUGGAUGCCAGUCUGGGGAGAUGUUUCAGGCAUGUCCAACUGGGAGGGGACAUCGUGGAAGACCAAGGAAUGAGUCGAUGUUCCCCUGGAGGAUUUGGAGCAGGUCACAGGGAAAUGAGAAGUCUGGGCGUAUUUGCUUAGACCACUGCCCCAAUGACCCAGACCAGAUUCGCUGCAGAAAAUGCAAGGAUGGAUAUAUAAUUUUAUCACGGAAAACGUGAAGGAAUUUUUCAGUCUGUAAUGAUCCGGUCAGAUGCAGGCUGACGUAGCUUAUUAACCACAUACAUACAACAUGGACUGCUGUGCUGUUAUGGCAAACAAGCACACACGUGUCAAACACACAGCAGGGCUAACGUAAUGUCGCCAGCUCACCUAAUCUGCAUGUCUUUGGAAACUGGGAGGAAACCGGAGCACCCGGGGCAAACCCACGCAGACACCGGAAGAACAGGCAAACUCCUUACUAUGGGGCAGCAGCGCAAACACUGCUGUGCUGUCUUGUGAGCCUGGAUGUCACAUUUCAAAAUGCUGAUAUAAGAAUUAGAAAACUUAAUAUCAACUUUUAAAACGCCGAUAUCUUGUCGUUAUCAAAUUUCAAAAACAUACAAUAUUAGCAGUUUGACUUUUGAUAUCAAGAAAAACGAUUACAUUCUGAAAAGGCUUCCUGCAAGCGUAUCCGUUGACAACAGCAGCGGCAGAUUACAGGCUGCCUUCUCCACCUCCUCUAAAUCCUAUUGGAUAGUCGUAGCAGCCUAUCGGGUUCUACUGCUGGGCGGUGCCGUCCCGCACCCUCUUCGCCCAUUGGGUGCAGUCAGACUCAGUUGAAAAUUAGUGGAAAACGGGCUCACCUGUGUGAGGGGGCGUCGCCUUCGGUCCUUCACAACAACCGGUCAGGCGAAACUCUAGGAGUUCUUUAAUGUUUUUGCUAAGAAUAUUAGUGGUUUUAAAAAAUAAGUAAAGUUUUGUUGAAGACAGGCGACGGUGACCUGCUAACUUUCCUACUUUUUAAACUUAAGCCAGAAGCAAGAAGAAUCCGGUUCACGUCAGGAACGCGAAACAGGUAAGUGUUGUUAUUAUUAUUAUUACUUUUAUUAGUUUGUGUUUAUUACAGUAAGUGAGUCAGAUGGAAUUCUGCAUCAUCGAGUGCGCUACUGUCGUUGUUGAAGCUGAAAGAAAUGGCUCGUCAGCACGGAAGAUAAGGUGACAGCCCACGCAGAGUUGUAACUGAGCAUAACAAUGUAAAACUGGAACAAAUGGACAAAUGUCGAGUCUUCUGACUGGCACGCAUUGUUUCAGUUACUUGGACGUAUGUGAUGUGCAUGGCAGGCAUGUCGUUUAGUUUUGAACUGAGAUUUCCUUCUGUUGAUGGCAAGAGGAGGAUUUGAACCCACCGCUGGUUCCAUCUUGGGCGGUGGGUUACCGGUGUUUAUCCUGCUGAGCUACUCUUUGGACUCAUUUCGUCGUUGGGCUUCAGUAUAUUUGACAACUGAUGUCCGUUGAUCCAUCACAUAAAAUAUAUUCUUUUUUGGUCGUCAUUCUUGCGGACCCCCUCUGCGACUCAGGGGUGCCCUUUGUUCUCUCCCAGCCCAGGUUGGUCUCGAUCGCGGGGCCGACUCGGUUUUGGUUGCUGGGGUCGAGUGCUUGUUUCGCUAUGCCACCGAGGGGUCCCCUUUAGAAGAAGGGUCUAGAAAUUAUUUAUACCGUUAACUCUUCGGUGGCCACAGCAAAUAAAGAGCCUGCUUUUUGUUUACGUUGCUUUUAUGACUUGGGGACAGACGCGAACCCGCACUCUUCUCGGCCGAAUGAGCGGUCUACCCGGUUGAGCUACCGAGUCUGUCUGUUUACUUAGCCGACCAGACGCAUUUAAUGUUAGCGAAAGGUCUGUGGACUCCUUAAAGAAAUAGGUGGACAUCUUAUCACAACUGGAGAGACCGGGGCCCGAACCUCUGCCAUUUACCGGGGUGGGCCUGAAUGAGCUCGCUCUACCUCGGUGAGCUACUCCUCCGGUUGGAAGUUACACGAAAUCUUUCAUAUCAUUGGCAGAAAGGAGGACGCUGCAAAUAAACAGAUAUUUGGCAUGUUAUUUGGAUGGUGGGCUUCAGCUCAGGUCUGCCCUUUUGACCAGGGUGGUCGAUGUGUUUCAUCCGUGUGGCCAUCUCGGCUAGCCCUCUUUUCACGGUGUUGCCCUGCCGGCCCCUUUAGCGGUGUAGCCUAUAAACCUUCAACCCCACCACAUAAAGAAUUUAAUAUCCAUCUUCUCAUGGUGGGACUCGAACUCCUAGAUCCCGUGCAGUGGUCGAGUAAUACCCAGUGGUCUACCCAUCUGAGCUACCACAGCCCACUCAGCAACUUGGCGACGAGUC